AAGACGUAAUAAAAAGGAUCGACGCAGAAAGUUCCGAUAUAUGCUGGUGUACCAGUUAUCGUGCCUACGGUAAACGCUGGGUAGCCAAGUGCGGAGAGGAUAACUGCUGAAAGCAUAUAAGUAGUAAGCCCACCCCAAGAUGAGUGCUCUCUCCUCCGACUUCCCUAGAGCCUUCGGUAGCACAGGCGAGAUAGCGACGGGUUCUCCACCCAUACGGGGAUGGAGCGACAGAAGCAUGGAAAUAGGAUAAGGUAGCGGCGAGACGAGCCGUUUAAAUAGGUGUCAAGUGGAAGUGCAGUGAUGUAUGCAGCUGAGGCAUCCUAACGAACGAA
rnacentral:ncRNA from 1 species